AUACGUAGGGGGCGAGCGUUGUCCGGAUUUAUUGGGCGUAAAGGGUGCGUAGGCGGCCUUGUAAGUCAGAUGUGAAAGAUCAUGGCUUAACUGUGGUAAGCAUUUGAAACUGCAGGGCUUGAGUACAGGAGGGGAGAGUGGAAUUCCUAGUGUAGCGGGGAAAUGCGUAGAUAUUAGGAGGAAUACCAGUGGCGAAGGCGACUCUCUGUACUGAUACUGACGCUGAGGCACGAAAGCGUGGGGAGCAAACAGGAUUAGAUACCCGGGUAGUCCACGCUAUAAACGAUGAGUGCUAGGUGUCGGGGGUCAAACCUCGGUGCCGCAGUUAACACAUUAAGCACGCCGCCUGGGGAGUACGGCCGCAAGGCUGAAACUCAAAUGAAUUGACGGGG
rnacentral:rRNA from 1 species